GAUGAACGCUAGCGGGAGGCUUAACACAUGCAAGUCGAGGGGCAGCACUGAUAGCAAUAUUAGGUGGCGACCGGCGGACGGGUGAGUAACGCGUAUGCAACCUACCCUUUACAGGGGGAUAGCCCGGAGAAAUUCGGAUUAAUACCCCAUAGAUCAGUGAUUCUGCAUGGGAUUACUGGUAAAGCUUCGGUGGUAAAGGAUGGGCAUGCGUCCCAUUAGCUAGUUGGUAGGGUAACGGCCUACCAAGGCAACGAUGGGUACGGGGUCUUAAAGGAUGGACCCGCACACUGGCACUGAGACACGGGCCAGACUCCUACGGGAGGCAGCAGUGGGGAAUAUUGGUCAAUGGGGGGAACCCUGAACCAGCCAUCCCGCGUGCAGGAAGACAGUUCUAUGGAUUGUAAACUGCUUUUCUUGGGGAAGAAUAAUGACGACGUGUCGUCAGAUGACGGUACCCGAGGAAUAAGCAUCGGCUAACUCCGUG
rnacentral:rRNA from 1 species